UGGGGAAUCUUGCACAAUGGAGGAAACUCUGAUGCAGCGACGCCGCGUGAGCGAAGAAGCCUUUCGGGGUGUAAAGCUCUUACGCCAGGGACGAUAAUGACGGUACCUGGAGAAGCAGCUGCGGCUAACUACGUGCCAGCAGCCGCGGUAAUACGUAGGCAGCAAGCGUUGUUCGGAAUUACUGGGCGUAAAGGGUGCGUAGGCGGCGCUCUAAGUUUGGUGUGAAAUCUCCCGGCUUAACUGGGAGGGUGCACUGAAAACUGGGGCGCUCGAGUCUGGGAGAGGAAAGCGGAAUUCCUGGUGUAGCGGGGAAAUGCGUAGAGAUCAGGAGGAACACCUGCGGUGCAGACGGCUUUCUGGACCAUCACUGACGCUGAGGCACGAAAGCGUGGGUAGCAAACA
rnacentral:rRNA from 1 species